GAUGAAGAACGUAGCGAAAUGCGAUAAGUAAUGUGAAUUGCAGAAUUCAGUGAAUCAUCGAAUCUUUGAACGCACAUUGCGCCCGUCAGUAUUCUGGCGGGCAUGCCUGUUCGAGCGUCAUUACGCCCCUCAAGUCCCCUGUGGACUUGGUGUUGGGGAUCGGCGAGGCUGGUUUUCCAGCACAGCCGUCCCCUAAAUUCAGUGGCGGUCCCGCCGCAGCCACCUCUGCGUAGUAGUUUUCUCCUCGCAAGGGCAGCUCGACGACGACCACGCCGUAAAACCCCCAACUUCUGAAAGGUUGACCUCGAAUCAGGUAGGAAUACCCGCUGAACUUAAGCAUAUCAAUAAGCGGAGGA
rnacentral:misc_RNA from 1 species